rnacentral:rRNA from 1 species
AGACGUCUACAUUAGAUACCCGCGUAGUCCCAGCCCUAAACGAUGCGCGUUAGGUGUAUCGGUGACCACGAGUCACCGAGGUGCCGAAGGGAAACCGUGAAACGUGCCGCCUGGGAAGUACGGUCGCAAGGCUGAAACUUAAAGGAAUUGCGGGGGAGCACCACAACGGGUGGAGCCUGCGGUUUAAUUGGACUCAACGCCGGGAAGCUCACCGGAUAAGACAGCGGAAUGAUUGCCGGGCUGAAGACCCUGCAUGACCAGCUG